GACCGUGGGGGCUGUCCAGGCAGGGUAAAGACAGCCUUGUCCUAGACACGGCUCCUGGGUGCAAGGGAUGGAAACUCCAACCAACCUAUGCGAGGCCCAAAGGGGAACUGACGGGCUCAUCAGGCAGCUUCAGGCACCGGCUGGGCCCUGCAGGCCCCGCUGCUGUCUCUCUCUAUCCUGUCUCCUCACCUGAGGCCGCUGAGUGCCGACUUCCUGCUCCUGAUGGGGCCUGUCCACAAGAAACCAAGAAACGCACAUCCAGAUGGUGGCCCGCCUCCCGCCAGCCUGGAUCCUGGAUCACAGCCUACACACGGGACCAGCCGCCCCGCCACCCUGCAAGGCAACACCACACUCCCAGAAACUCGAUGACCUCAGGCUCUGAGAGGCCCGUCUCCUGCCCUAGGUCACACAGCUGGCCAGGGCAGCCAGGAUCUGAACAGGAACCACAAGCUCUCCCCAGGGGGCAGCCAGAUAAGGAGGGUAUUGGCCAUGGUCAUGCCCCAGCCUCCUGGUAUCGGUCCCCGUCCCUUCCUCACCAAUGUCCUCAGCCCAGGACCCAAGGAGGGCCUUCAGGGGGAGGGCAGCAGGUCAGCAUUGGGGCCCGUGAGGGUCUCCAGGACACAGCCACUUUGGGACCACGGACAGGACCUGCUAAGUGUAACGGAAUGCAGGGCCCUUGGGCCCUCUGUGGUCUGGUCUCUACUGACUGCGCCCCAAAGCAGGGCACCUCCCACAUGCAGGCGCAGCCCCUCCCUCUGCAUCCGCUCACCCUGACCCACGGACGGAAUCCCACCAUUCCUCCCCACACCUUGGCCCCUCCUCCCAGCUCUGAGCUCCUGCCUGUCUGGCAGUACAAGGUGCCCUUUUGGCUUUGAGAGAGGACACACAUAAAGUGUGCUCAGUAAUAGCACUUGUCAGCUCCCUGAUGGGAGAUUUCACAGAGGAGGGGGGCUUCAAGUCGGGUUUUGAAGAAUGUGUAGGAGUUCACCAGGGGGUUCAGAGAGCAGGUGAGGGGCAUUUUGAGUAGAAACAAAGAGGCAGGAAAUAUUCAAGGAAGGGAGAGGAAUGAGACAGGCUUGUGCAGAGGGCCUGGCAUGGGGGUGUGGAAGGUGACAGCCUCUUCGGCCUCCGAGUGUCAGGCCAAGGACUCACCAGUGUGAGCGUCAGAGGGGCCUCGGAAGGUCAGAGGAGGUUGGCGGUGGAGGGUCAGGCUCGCCAUUCCAAGGGGGACCGGGCCACUGCUGUGUGACGGGGCUUGGGCUGGAUCCAUCCGGAGGUGCAGCCAGGGCCAUGACGGGGAGGAUGAUGGACAGGAGGGCUGUUCAGGGGGCAAAAAUAAAUGGAAUGCCUUUUUCUCGUGCCUUUGAUGGAUCCAAAGUCACUUUGUUAACAUAAGAACAUAAAAACGUAUAAUGCGUGGCUUGAUUUGUA
ensembl:lncRNA novel transcript